UACAGAGGUCCCAAGCGUUGUUCGGAUUCAUUGGGCGUAAAGGGUGCGUAGGUGGCGUCGUAAGUCAGGUGUGAAAUCUCGGGGCUUAACUCCGAAACUGCAUUUGAUACUGCGGUGCUUGAGGACUGGAGAGGAGACUGGAAUUUACGGUGUAGCAGUGAAAUGCGUAGAGAUCGUAAGGAAGACCAGUGGCGAAGGCGGGUCUCGUGGACAGUUCCUGACACUGAGGCACGAAGGCCAGGGGAGCAAACGGG
rnacentral:rRNA from 1 species